UGUCACACCAUUCCACUAAUUUAUUACGCCUCAGUGUUAUUUUGUACAUAUAAUGAAGUGAAAUCUGCUUAAAAUCAUGCUUGCCUAACAUAUUCUAUAUUACAGAUGUGCAUUAUAUGAAGAUGUACUGCUCUUACUAUUUCAGACAUAUCUUUAUUUUUGUCUUUUAGUUUUGGGAAGUCUACCACAGUAUCAUUUUCAUUCUUGAAAAAUUAAAAAUGGUGUAUAUCCUGCUAUACUGAAUACAGCUUGAGAAUGAGAUAAUAAAGCUGUAAAACAGACAGUUAUACAGCUAUGAAUAUACUGAAAGUAACAGCCAAACUUUUUCAUUCAAGAGGCAAAACAUUGGGCAAAAAAUAUUCUAAAACAGCACAUUAAUACAUAAAACAUAGGAUAGCAAUUAUGAAAACAUAGCAGACAGUGUGUGUAAUCUUAAUCACUCGUACAGGUUUGUUUAAUGUUAAUACGCUUAAUAUUCAGUUUUGAUGUCAGCUCUGUAGCUCAUUUCUAAUUACACUAACAAUUUUCUCCGUUUAGCACUAGUUAUUCCCAUAUAACUUAUAUCUUCAUUUAGAUACAGUCUUCAAUAUAUCAGGCCUGUGUUUUCAUCUGUGAACUGUAACAAUAACUUACUUUCACUUUCAACAUCACUCAGAUUUAACUUAGUGCUGUUUUCUCUUUCUCAUUUGAGGUUUAAACAGCAGAAACUGAUCGAGAUGGUCACUUGUAGGCGAAGGGAAUGAUGUUUUAUCGUCUUCAUGUGCUUGUGUUGUUGUUUUUACAGGUUUGGACACAGAGCGAGGAGCUAAAAUUACACAGAAAACACUCGACAACAAACUACUGCAAUAUAACUUUACACCAGCGGAACUCACCUGAAUGUCGUUAUAUGUCCACAGACUCAGUUUCUUAAAUACAUAACUUCCAUCAGUCGAAGAAGCGACGUGCUGAUCUUUGAAGCUGAAAUAUUUUAGAGAAAAAGAAAAGGGCUGAAGCAGGACUCUCUGUGUACACUCCCUUCCUGGG
ensembl:lncRNA